UGAAGAGUUUGAUCAUGGCUCAGAUUGAACGCUGGCGGCAGGCCUAACACAUGCAAGUCGAACGGUAACAGGAAGCAGCUUGCUGCUUCGCUGACGAGUGGCGGACGGGUGAGUAAUGUCUGGGAAACUGCCUGAUGGAGGGGGAUAACUACUGGAAACGGUGGCUAAUACCGCAUAACGUCGCAAGACCAAAGAGGGGGACCUUCGGGCCUCUUGCCAUCAGAUGUGCCCAGAUGGGAUUAGCUUGUUGGUGAGGUAACGGCUCACCAAGGCGACGAUCCCUAGCUGGUCUGAGAGGAUGACCAGCCACACUGGAACUGAGACACGGUCCAGACUCCUACGGGAGGCAGCAGUGGGGAAUAUUGCACAAUGGGCGCAAGCCUGAUGCAGCCAUGCCGCGUGUAUGAAGAAGGCCUUCGGGUUGUAAAGUACUUUCAGCGGGGAGGAAGGUGUUGUGGUUAAUAACCGCAGCAAUUGACGUUACCCGCAGAAGAAGCACCGGCUAACUCCGUGCCAGCAGCCGCGGUAAUACGGAGGGUGCAAGCGUUAAUCGGAAUUACUGGGCGUAAAGCGCACGCAGGCGGUCUGUCAAGUCGGAUGUGAAAUCCCCGGGCUCAACCUGGGAACUGCAUUCGAAACUGGCAGGCUUGAGUCUUGUAGAGGGGGGUAGAAUUCCAGGUGUAGCGGUGAAAUGCGUAGAGAUCUGGAGGAAUACCGGUGGCGAAGGCGGCCCCCUGGACAAAGACUGACGCUCAGGUGCGAAAGCGUGGGGAGCAAACAGGAUUAGAUACCCUGGUAGUCCACGCCGUAAACGAUGUCUACUUGGAGGUUGUGCCCUUGAGGCGUGGCUUCCGGAGCUAACGCGUUAAGUAGACCGCCUGGGGAGUACGGCCGCAAGGUUAAAACUCAAAUGAAUUGACGGGGGCCCGCACAAGCGGUGGAGCAUGUGGUUUAAUUCGAUGCAACGCGAAGAACCUUACCUGGUCUUGACAUCCACAGAAGAAUCCAGAGAUGGAUUGGUGCCUUCGGGAACUGUGAGACAGGUGCUGCAUGGCUGUCGUCAGCUCGUGUUGUGAAAUGUUGGGUUAAGUCCCGCAACGAGCGCAACCCUUAUCCUUUGUUGCCAGCGAUUAGGUCGGGAACUCAAAGGAGACUGCCAGUGAUAAA
rnacentral:rRNA from 1 species